rnacentral:rRNA from 1 species
GGGGAAUUUUCCGCAAUGGGCGAAAGCCUGACGGAGCAAUACCGCGUGAGGGAUGACUGCCUAUGGGUUGUAAACCUCUUUUUUCAGGGAGGAACAAAAUGACGUGUACCUGAAGAAUAAGCAUCGGCUAACUCCGUGCCAGCAGCCGCGGUAAGACGGAGGAUGCAAGUGUUAUCCGGAAUCACUGGGCGUAAAGCGUCUGUAGGUGGUCAAAUAAGUCAACUGUUAAAUCUUGAGGCUCAACCUCAAAAUCGCAGUCGAAACUAUUAGACUAGAGUAUAGUAGGGGUAAAGGGAAUUUCCAGUGGAGCGGUGAAAUGCGUAGAGAUUGGAAAGAACACCGAUGGCGAAGGCACUUUACUGGGCUAUUACUAACACUCAGAGACGAAAGCUAGGGUAGCAAAU